CAAAUGUGUGUAAGAAGAAGAUGUUGAGGAGCACGAGGAACAGCAGUCCCGGCAGCACGUUGACGCUCGUGAACAUACAAUGUUCCUCUCAAUCGUCCAAGUUUGCUGUAAAGCGGAACCAGGGUUCAAAUUGAAAAGUGAAAAUGUGAUGUUGCAACUCAGCACAGGAUACACUGGAGGACAUGGCCUAAGCUGACUCAUCAUGGCGGAGCUCUCAGCCUGAAACACCAUGUGGCAGAGAUGCCCAGUCUGACGAUGGCGUUGUUGAUCCUCACGUGUAAAGACUAGGACAGUGAACAGCAGCUCUGAGUAUUCGGCCUUCUUUGAGACCCUGAAUGGAGUCCUGCAUGGACACCGUAGUUCUGCUGGGAGACCUCAAUGACGAUGGAGACACCUGGAGAGGCGUGAUUGGGAGGAACGGUCUCCCUGAUCUAAACCUGAGCGCUCGUCUGUUGUUGGACUUCUGUGCUAGUCACCGAAUGGCCAUGUUCGAACACAAGGAUGCUCAUAAGUGUACACCAAGUGGAAAAUUACACCAAGAGACUCAUUCCCGCUGCUGAUCAUCACGCACCGGCCCAAAGAAACAUGUUUACACUACAACUGACCUCCAGACUAUGAAGGCCUGAGGACGAGCAACCAGUGGCUGCUUCUGAAGCAGGAACAUGAGAAACUGUCAUCUCCUUCAUUCCUGCUCCACACAGGAAAGCAGUGUUCUGCCAGUGAUCUGCUCAUGAUUAAUGUUUAUACGUGAAACAUGUACGUCACUCUUCUGUUUCUAAUAAACUUGGGUCUUGUGUAUAAGCUUGUUUUCUACAUUUGGCUUAACGUUGUACAAAGACACAGAAAAAUCCUAUCCAGAUUUCUUAAAAUCCAAAAGCAUCAGAGCCUUUCCAAUGACGAGACUUUGAAAUUGAAUGAACAUUUUAAUAAAUAUAUUCAUAGCGUACAUUUUAAAGUGCAAUACAUUUAAAACUUCCCAUGAAGCUGUUAUCAGUACAGUACAUCUGCAUAAUGUUCAAAUGGCCACACGGUACACAAAUGUAUAAGUCCAUGCCAUUUCAAGUAAGCAGGUUCACUGAUUCAUAUUCCAGUGUGAUGAAUGAUGUUGGUUAUUUCCAUGUUUUGCUUUGGUUGUCACAGUUCUGCCAAAAUAAAUAUUCUUAGGAAAAGAGAAACAACCAGAGUCAAUUGAUUUUUAUGAACAGUCAUUCAAAACUGAAAUCUAUAUUUAAUGUUUACAUUUAUACAGUAACACCAGCUGCACCCUUGUGGCCAGUUGGAAGU